AUGGACCUAGACCUACACGGUGAACGCCAACGCGAGAACAGACUCACGCGUCACCAACACGAAUGCUCGCCACGGUGCUGCGUCCCGCAUGUCCCGCACGAUCCGACGCGCCCGACGAGUCCGACCGCACCAGUACGCCCCGCACGUCCCGCACGCAUCCGACGUGCCCGACGAGCCCAACUGCACCAGACGCCGUGGCUUAUUCCAACACACACCCUAAGCCACGACGUCGCCGUCGUCGGAGUUGGGGUAGCUCCCGUCGUCGAUGUCGCCACGACCGCGGACUCGACCUGGCGCGCUGACGCCGAUCGCCACCGUGCUUGCUGCGUCGUCUCCGGCGACAUACGCCGAGCUCCUUCUCUGCCGGCGACACACGCCUGGCGUCCCUCGGUGACAAACGUUGUUGAUGGCGUCGCGCUCAAACGCGAGCCUUCCCAGACGCCGCUUCAUGGCGUAGCACCGCGCCGCUGCGGCCUCCACCGACGCGCCGCGUUUCCGUGCCCCCACGAUCGUCGCGCCGAGCCACCGCGUCCUCUGCGCCACCACGCAGGUCCUCCGCGACCUCCUCGUCUCCGCGACCGCCAUGCUCUUCGGGCGUACGACAUCACUCCGCACCACCGCGGACUCGUCAUGCGUCGCAGUCGCCAUGCGCUCGCCGCGCGCUGCGGCCUCCAUGUUCGACACGCUCGGCGCGCGCCCCGCGGUCGCCGCCGCGUGCCGCGGCAACCCCCGAACCUGGUCGCUCUGAUGCCAAUUGUUGGCGCCGCCUCUCCUCGCAGCGCUGCUCUUCUUCUUCCUCUCGUUGCCUCACACAACUCUCUUGUGGUUUCUCUCAAUCUUCUUCUCUCAAGAACACAAGAACACAUACACAUGGAAGAAACUCAAACACACACACACGCAUGGACCAAGAAGGAGCACAAAUGCUUUGCCAUAGGCUCUUCUCCUUGGCGAACACAUAGGCUACAUAUUUUCCUCAGCCAUCUUUUUCAUUCAUCAAUGCAACAUAUAUAUACACAAAGGUUAGGCACUCAUGCCAUGCAGCCCACAUCUCUACCUAGACCCACUACUCCACUAAACUCUCCAUGCACUAAUCACUAG
rnacentral:rRNA from 1 species